AUUUAACCCGACAGUUUAACUAAGUGUUAUUAUACUUAUAUAUACAAUUACAACAGUGAAUACAUUUCACUUACGCAACUGCAGACAGCUGCUUAAUACAGUCACACUUGUCUUGACUUGGCUAUUCAAACAUACCAACGCUUACCAUCUCCCAUUGGAAUACUACGCUACGUAUGCAAAGUAAAACACGUGAUUUCUUCACUGARAGUCGAGUGGGUUCAAUCCCCMCAGGCUUAUCAUCACAUAAUACCUUUAUGGAUAACUCMGGGAAAGUUUGGCUAAUACGUACGAGUCACUACUUACUUUACAAAUCGCCGCCGCAUAAUACAACAUGCAUUACUUUUCGUUUGCGCGCGCGCGUGAUUUUAAAAACAAUUGUAUUAUUAAUUAAUAUUACUGCCUUCGUAUCCAAGCGCUAAAGCUUGCGUUGACACGUAGUUAUAAUUAUAUUUACAAUGAACUAUAUACUCAGCACUCAAUGGUAAACUUAUGCGUCUGUGUACUUCUGUCUUCGGACAAUGCACUUACGUAUGAUUCGUUUAAACUGCAACAUGAGAGACAUUGAGCACGCAGUCUUUUGGUCACUUGUGACUGAUUGACAUCUACGCUGAGCAGACUUUGAGAUUCUUUUAAUUUCGAAGCAUGUCAUACAAGCAUCUACAGCAUCAAGUCACAGGGUUGGCAAGUGUAUUAUUGAACCUUCAAAGCAGUCACGCAUACGGAAGAGUAGUUUCUGAUCCCAUAGAAGGAGCACCGUACAAUGAGAGACCGCUCUUAGUUCUAAGGAACGCAGCAGGCGCGUAAAUUGCCCAAUGCUAGUACCCUACUAUCAUUAAAUAAACAAUUUCGCAGACAUACGCUAUAUUAACACUUACUAAACUAUCAUAUAUACUAAUACAAUUAACCUUGUUACGCUGCGCACUCAAAUUAUUUAAUAAAUCAUUUACUGAGGCAGUGACAAGCUGUAACGGUUGAGUAUAAUAAUGACGAGUGUCUGGCAUUGCCGCUGCCUUCGGGUUAGCUUGGCAAUAUUGCCGACGCUUUGUGUGCUCAAUUGGAAUGCGGUGAGUUUAAGCAACUCAGAACCUUUGGAUGGUAGUUCUUUGAUCUACUANNNNNNNNNNNNNNNNNNNNNNNNNNNNNNNNNNNNNNNNNNNNNNNNNNNNNNNNNNNNNNNNNNNNNNNNNNNNNNNNNNNNUGUUGCGGUUAAGAGGCUCGUAGUUGGAUUGAACAAUUUUGUAAUUCUUACGCUCGCGUAGCUUACAAUUGUACUAAGCGAUGAAUCAUGUGCAUAUGUCGAAUGUUACUAUACACACGUUACUUUAAACAACGCAUAUCGCGCCUUACAUCGCUUAUAUUCGAUAUAUUUAAUUUUAUACGAAUUAUACCGUGACAAGCUCGAAACGCGAGAUUAUCUAUUUCAACACUGUGAACAAAUCAGAGUGUAUCAAACAUGUCGUAUUUGAAUGCGCAUUGAAUGUCUUAUCAUGGGAUGUUGCCUUUCUAUUAUAUAUGAGACCGUGGGGAAAAUCUACACACUUUUCACUCGUAUUCAUCUAGAGCAGACACACUCUAUAGAGAGUCUCUUUUUGUUAAAAUAUAUAUGUCGRKGGRGAUAGKGRKAGUCAACAGCUGYGGUGGGAGAGAUGARAUAUUCAUUGACUCUAGCAAGACUACCAAAAGAGAAAGCAGCUGGCUAGGCUAUACACUUUGUGAGAUUGUGUAUUUAUCCAUUUGCACCGMGMGUGUGUGACGYGAUGCGKCUGUCGUAUAUWCUAAACACACAUAUCAUCUCUCUAUACACARMAGCAGCACKCRCRWGCGCGCUCASWSACGUCUCAACUGAAAUAAAUUCCAAWAAUAAUAACAACAAUACACUUUACAAUGAAGAACGAAGGUUGGGGGAUCAAAGAGGAUCAGAUACCCUCGUCGUCCCAUUAAUUACAUCAAACGAUGGGCUCUCAAUUGCAUUAUUAAUAAUAAUAGCAUAUGACCUCAACCUACUAAAUCUUAUUAACUCUGGCUUGAGCUCGUAGUUCGCUACGCUCGCCUAAACUUAUAUUGAUUUCUAUGUACGGUCUCAAUGAAGACAUAUGCAUUCUGUACUAAAAUUUAGCGUGUCUCGCUAUACAACUAAACGUAUCAAUCUGAUCUUUAUUGUAUCUAGUUAUUGAACUUUAGUUUGCGACACUUGAUUUUCGGAGCUUUGCGCUCAAUUCUGGUGAGAUGUAAGCACCAUGUUACGUGACCCGCAACGUAUACCUAUCGGGUAUUUCGCUUGUCGUGCGUCACUAACACUACAUUUAUUUUGGUGUGAAGCACGCUUUAGGCACGCGCUUACUGCAGAAAUGUCUGAGACAUUCCCCUCCGGGGGUAGUAUGCACGCAAGUGUGAAACUUGAAGGAAUUGACGGAAGGGCACCACAAGAACGCGUGGAGCAUGUGGCUUAAUUUGACUCAACGCGGGAAAUCUUACCGGGUCCGGACACACUGAGGAUUGACAGGCAAUAUUACAGUUUGAACUCUUUACUGAGUAUCGAUUGUAUGUUAAAUAUGCUAGUCCUUUCAUGAUUAUGUGAUAGGUGGUGCAUGGCCGUUCUUAGUUCGUGGAGUGAUCUGUCUGCUUAAUUGCGUUUCACUAAGGAACUAUAUUAUUCAUGUAUGUUGUUAGCGCAUUGACCCCUCGUUUUCUCUGUAACUACUUUCUCCUCAAGAGAUUGUACGCGCAUUUUGAAUGUGAGCGUGCGUCUUUGAUUCUUACGUCUAGCUCAUACGAUUAGUUCCUGAAAGCAACGAACGUGACCGCAACCUCUUGUUGCCUUCAUUUCCAAUACGCGUGAAUAUAUUUGUUUUCGAUCAAGUAUCUGAAGUGUAUACGGAGGCUUUCUAAACUAGAGGGACCGCUGUUAUCUUCUUAAACCAGAGGAAGGUUGCGGCAAUAACAGGUCUGUGAUGCCCUUAGAUGUUCCGGGCUGCACACGUGCUACAAUGAUUAUUGCAGUGAGCAUCUCAUUUAAAAUUUAAUACAUCGCAAGCGCGAGUCCGUUUGUUCUUUGUUUCAGUUCAUGCUGUUCAAAGCUUCAAAUGAGUAUCUCUGCGCGCGAUAAAGCCUGCUUUGAAAGUUUAGUGGGUAAUCAAUUAGAAGUAAUGAUUUCCUAAAUUUAUCGCACUUAUAUGUAUGGCGUCUUUACCCAGCUAGCCUUUUGUGCUAGAAUCCGUGUGUAUUGACGAUUGAUUUCUUGUAAAUCAAUUGCCUAAUCUUAUGGUACCUUACGUGCAAUUGUCAAUUCAUGGUGGGGACAGACCAUUGUUAAUUGUUGGUUUCGGUUUUAACUAGGAAUGCCUUGUACGGGUCUUUGGUUCAACAGACCCCCCGGAAUACGUCCCUGCCCUUUGUACCCCCCCCCCGUCGCUUUUACCGAUGGACUUCUUUGGGAGUUUGAGGGACUGGGUCGUGCU
rnacentral:rRNA from 1 species